GGUUUAGCUCAGUUGGCAGAGCGCGUGCUUAGCAUGCACGAGGUCACCGGUUCGAUUCCGGUAUCCUCC
rnacentral:tRNA from 1 species